ACGCUUCAUGGGAGGGAACCCAUAUUUUCUUAAUUUUUUUUAUUUCAAUUUCACAAAUUUAAAUUUUUAGAUAAGUUUAUUUUAUUAUUUUUAAACAUUGUACCAAAUUUUACAGUUUUUGGAAUUGUUUUGGACAGACUGAGUAUGUUGGAUGGACUGAAAUACAGGGCAAAAGCAGUGUUGGAAAACUGCUGCUGAGCCAUUGGAAUUGAGAAAGUUGAAAUAUACAGAGUUGAGAUUUUUCAAAGAUUAGGCCUUGGAGCUGUUGGAGGAGUACAUGUUCAAGACAAAGGAGAUUAUUUUUCUUUAGUUCCAGCAAAUUGGAGAAAAAAGUGCAUAUGCCCAGGUAAGAGACUUUCUUCUUUGAAAACAAAAUGUUCCCCUUUAUUUUUCCCUUUACAAAACAUUGCCCGCACAAUCCCACCUUCUCUAGACAUGCACUGCUUCCAGAAACACAACAACCAGAUUUGCAAGCUCGGGAGGAUAGAUGUUGAGUAGUUAAAUAGACGACGAGGAAAGCAUGCAUGUCAUCCGCCUUAAGAGGCAUCCAGAUGUACAGGUAGACCGGGAGACGGUUCAGAUCCUUAGGCUACCUUCUCAGCGCUUGUAUAGGAGCACUCCACUUGUUUCGGAGUUGCAGUUCAGCUUGGUAAACAGAUAGACACGCCUGAUCUCUAAGGGCUCCAUCAGCGGCACCUUGGAAGAGCUCCAGUUGUUCCGGAGCUACAACUUAUUGAUUGAGGUGCUAUUCGAUUCAAGUGCGUUGUUGUUGGCGAGCACUUAACGAAAGGAGGAGAUCUCUCGACUAUUUUUUGUGGAAUAAAAUUUCUUCCAAGUUCGUUUUCAGUAUAUUAAAUGGUGGACUCGAGAUCUAAGAGUUACUUUUGAUUUAGAUCUAACAUAUUUUAACAGUAAACUAUUGUUCUUGAUUAUGCUUUUAUUGAAUUGUUAUAACUUUUGUCUCUUUAGCAGAUUAUGUAGAAACAGAGAAUUGAGGACAUUGAUGUAGCUAUUGAAGGGGACAUAAUUGGUAACUGUUAAGACCAAAACUAGCCGGAGUUUUUUUUUUUUUUUUUUUGGAUAAUUAUUUUCUAAAUAUAUUUAUAUUUAAAAUUGCAAUCGUAAAAGUUUCUCCAGUUUUUUUUUUUUUUUUUUUUUUUAUGAGGCAUAACUAUUGAGUCAUAUUUUUAUAAAUGUUUGAUAUAUUUUUAUUUUUAUUUUGAAAUUAUCAUGCCACAAUUGUAGGGAUGAUUAAGUGGUAGUGCUUUGGUUCUUAUGCUAUUAAUAUUCCUCAGCAAGUCAGAGACUCCUCAUUCAUUAUCCUUGUUGCAACGAUAACUUAUUUAAGAUACGGUCUAUAAGUUUAUGCAAAAUUAAAACAUACGUAAUUAUUUUAUUUAAUGUCAAUUUUGAUUGUAAGUUAAAAAAUGUUGGUCAAACCAGAAAGAAGACAAAAACACCGUUCUCAGCCAGAGUCAUUGUUGAUGUAGAAAAUAUUAAUUUUCUUUUCUUUUUGGAAUUUCAUUUAUUUGUUCAUAUAUUCACCUAAAUUCCACCGCCCCCACCCUAUAAUUGCGGAGCUUAUUCUGACUAGGCAAUAAUGACACUAUGGAGCUUAUUUUAACAAGAUAAAAAAGAAAUAAUAGGCACCGUUCAGUUGAAAUAACCAUUAGUAUGGUGGUAAACUAACUUUUAGCAAAUUUAUACAUGACUUUAUAUUCUCCUCAAAUUUAUACCCUUUAAGAAUUUAAUUACUACUUCUUAAACAACUAAUUGCAAUAAAUAAUUUAAAGAGUUGUAUUAGAGAAAAAUUAAUUAUUUUUCAUGGAAGUCACAUAAUCUUAUUACUGCCUCAUUAUCUGACGAAGAACAAGCAAGUUAAAUUAAGAAAUUCUAUUUGUAAGAGGCUUGCUGUCUUUUGGGUAUCUCAACGAGUGCACCAAAGAUAAUAUUCUAAGAAUUCAUCCAUAUAAAGAUCUUUAUGUAAGAACUUCCAACAGUGACAUGAAAGAGUGAUUUGUAGAAUGAGAUCCUAUAUUUAUUUUUAGAAGAUCAUUUAGAUGUAUAGAGCGAAAAUAUAUGAUUAUAGGUUCAAACUACAUCCAUUUAUGUUAACCUUCGAAUUAGGUGACAACAUGCAAGUACAAUUAGCAUUUUAACAUAAUUUUAAUAAUAAUUGACAAGGGACAUAGAAACUAGUAUAAUAAAAAGGGCAGGGGACAAGGGGUCACCUUGUCUAAGUCCUUUGCUUGAUUUAAAAAAUCCAUUUUUGGUCCCAUUAAGAACAAUUGAGUACCAGUUAUUAGAGAUGUGUUUGAAAAUAAUAUCGAUCUAUAUUUCAUUGAAACCAAACAUUUUCAUGACUCUGCAUAGAUAGGGCGAUGGCACCCUAUCAUAUGCUUUGGUCAUGCCAAGUUUGAGAACAACAUUAUCAUGUUUGUUAGGCUUAGAAAUAUGUUGCACUAGUUCUUGCGCUAAUAAGAUAUUAUCUGUUAUGGAUCUUCCUUGAAUGAAACCACUCUGAUUAGGGGAGAUAAUGACGGAAGAACUUUGCUUACUCUAUUAUUAAGAAACUUAGCAAUUAUCUUACUAAAUAUGUUACAAAGACUAAUGGGCCUAAUAUCAUAAAAAGAUUGGGGUGGGGGCAUUUUGGGAGCAAAACAAGUAUGAGA